UUCCCAGUAACAGCUUUUAUUGAGUAGGUAUAUAAACAAACACAGCUUUGCUCCAUAUGUGGAUCUGAACUCUGGUGUCUUGCAUUGUAGAAAAGUAGGAAAUGCAGCAGGGUGUCCCACAGACCUCCAUACACCACAGUCUGCAAUGCAGGACUAUGCGCAGGAGUUGCUGGGAUCAGCUCCUUUGGCUUGGUAUCCUUCCAGACUGGUUGCACCAGGUUCUGAAGUCUCCAAAGGCUUCAGGAUGCGUGGAACCAGCUUCAAGUUCCAGUAAAGCAAUGCCCAAACACCUUGAAGGCUUAACUUAAGAGAGGGUUGAUACUAAAGGAGCUACAGGACGCACAUUAAGAACGUGAACAUUUGACUUGUGCAUUCACAUCGGUUCAAAUGUUCCAAGUUUGACCUGAGUUAGGACAGAGCAGCCACCUCAGCAAAGCUUUCCCAUGAAGGCUUUACUGGGUAGCCAGGUGCCUUUGGCACAAAGGCAGAGCCAACAUUUUUACCCACUACCACCACAACCACCACCCUGCCCAGAGGAAAAUGGUAGCCCUAGAAGCCACCUUUUGCUUCAGCUGCCACAAAUGGAUAUUUUUGCAUCAUUUUAACUGAAACAGACCACUUUCUUACAGCAUUCCCUGCAGGUGGACACAAUCAAACAUUAAAAGGUAUUUUGGAGGAAUGUAAAAAUGAAUUUAGCAGCUGUCUUUUGACAUUAAGUUUUUGUUGUUUUGAUUUUGUUUUUUAAUUAAAGUAAAGCAGGUUAUGAGGAACCCCUUCGGAAACUCACUGACUUUCUACAUACUUGUUUAGAAUUUGAGCAGAAAAAAAAAGUCAUGAUGCUUUCAGCUGGGGUCAAGCUUCUACACAAAGGAGCAGAACAGUGUGAAAGAUGUAUGUAUAAACAGCCGAUGUUCCCAAUGUAUGGACUUUCCAGUCCAGGAAAUUAAUGACAACUCAGAACCCUGUUCCUCUACAAUUUCCUUUGCUAAUGCACAUGAACCAGUUAGAGCACACAAUUAGGAGAAGGCUGCCUGUUUCCAAUUAGGUCUGAAGAGAGGACCUGCCUCCUUCCUAAAUGAAUUGCAGAUAAAGCUUGCCAGAAGUGGGCCUCCUUCUGUCUGUGCUGGCUUAAAUCAGGGGCAGCAGCUUGCAGCAUCACACCAGGGCAAACAGGGUCCAGCCUGCCCCAUGAGUGCUGCCUGCCUGCCCGCCCAAGGCUCCCAUCCUGCCCUGGGAGGGCAGCCACAGUUCACUCAGGCCAGCUUUGUCCUCUCUUUUUCCACCAUUUUCCAACAUUCCUUGGUUUAUAAUGCUUAGAACAUCUGUAUUUAAUUCCCUUCCUUCAGUCUGGAGGGUCGGUGGUCUUACUUUCAAAAUCUUUGUCAAGAAAAUGAAGAUGAUGGAGCAAUUUGAAGGGGAAUGGCAAGUUAUUUUUGCUGACAGGAUUUCAACAAAUAACAGUUCUGGCUAAUUAUGCUGUAAUUGAUUUGGCAUGUUUGUAUGGACUUCGAGGGACUCUUUCGUGUUUUAAUCCAUUACAAAGGGAUUUUGAAAUAUGGGCUGUUUUGCUUUAAAAAAGAGAAACAAAGUAAAUAAAAUUGAGCAAUUCAAUUAAUUUACUCAACUCCCUCAGGGCCAGGCAAUAACAGUUAUGACUGAAAAAAACAGAUAUUCCCAUAUGAGGAGCGCUCUGAGGAGCUGUAAGAAAGCAGAUGACCAGGAUAACUGGGAGCUGACUGCUCAGCAUUAGCUGCAGCCCAGUUUUUGCCAGCAGUCACAACAGAGCUUUUUCUGUCCUUUUAAUGACCAAAAACCUUUGUUUCACAAUAUUUUUUUUUUUAAUGAUCAUUUUUAAAAGGAGGGAAAAUAGCUGUGCAUUCAUGUGGGAAAGAAAUAUCUCAGUUUCAGAUCCACAUGAAGGAGAAUUUAUGAAGUACAGCCUCUCCCUUCUUUUUCCCCCAUGCAUUUCAGAAGCUAGGCCAAACUUGCAUUUCAACCUAAUACUGGGAGAAAUCUUUCUUCUUGUCCAGGAUGUUCUAAAAUUGUCCAGUCCUUGUUCUGCAGCAUCUGGCACGGGUCACCUCUUGCAGUCAAGCUAUAAAUGAUGAACAUGAACCUGAAGAAGUGAGAAAAAAAACUCUGC
rnacentral:lncRNA from 1 species